ensembl:ncRNA F46G11.9 ncRNA
CCAGUUGUCGUCUAAAGACUAAGACAAGAAAAUGUCUCAUAGGACGGAAUGAUGGGGGUGGGGUCGAAUGGGAUAAGAGAAGGAAGCUCAAUUACUUGUAUUGUCGACAGAUACACCUUUCGAGACGGAAGGAAAU